CGCAGCGCUGCAAAAAGCCUGCGGCGCUCUGAGGCGCCUGGUCCUGGGGACCUCUUUCCACUCUUUACUCUCAAGAUAGGAGGAUGGGUCUGGGGGCCCAGCCAAAAGCUGCUUUCGACCCUUUUGAUUUGAUGUAGCAAAGAGUGUGUGUCCAGAUUAUCUGAAAUUGACACUGAAGAAAGCUCUGCUCCAAAUCCCGGACCGGACGUCGGAAACCCGCGCCCGCCGCCGUCAGGAACGCUCACGGGCUCCCCGGAGUCUUACAGAAAGCCGGGAAGGAAGGUCCCGUUUCUUCUCUAAGGUCUGGGACUUGAGAAGUGACACCCCGACCCUGAGUCCCAGCGAGCAACAAAUGAAGACCCGGGCGCAGGCCGGCCGCGGAAAGCCUGCGUGGCGGAACGGAGCGGCAGCGGCGAGGUACCUGAGUCUGUGUGAGUCCCAAAGAGGCCGCGAGCUCCGCCCUCUCCGGCAGAGCUAGGUACUGAGUUUGCUGGAACCUCCGGUUCAAAGCCUGCAACUGCAAACUGGAAUAAAUCGUCCUGGGUUUACGGAUCUUUUUUCCCUUGCCAUUGAAGCGCACUUCACCGCCUUCCACCACCGUGCUCUUCUCCGAGUCCGCCCCUGGAGGGACAGCAGAAGUAAGGCCCGUUGUUAAUACGAGGGGCCGCCUUUAGUGCGAACAGACGAGAGCGAGUGGCUACCGAAGGGUGGCGGAGGCAGCACCAGGGAGAGAACGUUCAAGAAACUCUGAAAGCCAGGGAAGGGUCCCCCAAAAUCCGAGGGCCUGUCCCGGGCCGCUGCAGGAGGGAUAGAGCCGUUCCCAGGAGCGCAGCUCCUGCCUUUGCAGGGAAAGUUUGCUAUUUUUGCAGGCGGUAGUUGAGGUUUAAUUACCCUUAAUUGCAUACAUUGUUUAUAGCGCUACGCAAUAAAUAAUUACCGAGACUAAUACGUGCACAUGUGGGUUUCU
rnacentral:lncRNA from 1 species